CGCUGCUCCAGUUGGGAGCAGGAUGGCUGCUACCUGGGGCGCUGGCCAGCACUUUCUUUUCGUGGGCCGAACCUCCAUUCGUUCCAGGAUCACCUGGCUCAGCCUGGAAUCUCGUUUCCCGGUGGACCAUCCUUCACCAAGGUUGUCCUGCCUGCCUAAUGUUUCCUCUUCACUUCCCAAUUAGGACCUAGGGAGAGUUGGAUAUCCAGGUGCAAAGUUUCUUGGUCCCUGCACCAAAAGUGGGCAAAGGGUAGCUUGCUUGGUCGAAGAUCAGAGUUACAAUUUG
rnacentral:lncRNA from 1 species